AUGAUUGAUUCUUAUGUUAAACGUUAAUAAUAUGUAUGUAUCGGUUUGAUCUUGGUGGGUGUGUAACGCAUGGGAAUCUGUCGACCAUUUCGCUCCAAAUCUUGAAUAAUUCAUAAAGCAAGCUAAUUCGCAUUGUUCGAUAAGCUCGCAUAGUAUCAGGUACUUGGUUAGGUAAAGGCUAACCAAGCCAAUGAUGAUUAGCUGGUAUUUUUGGAUGAUCCUACACAAUGGGACUGAGACACGACCCAGACUCCCUCAAGGGGAAACAGUGGGGAUUAUUGGACAAUGGGCUCAUGCCGGAUUCAUCAAU
rnacentral:ncRNA from 1 species